ACUGCAGAGUAACACUGCUCUUCCCGGGAGAGCCACAAAACAUCACAAGGGGCAUGCACCACAGGUGGUGACUUGGGAGGCUGGAUAUUCAACUUAAAAAAAGUGACUGGAUGUGAUGUUUCUGUGAUUCUAACUGUUACGACUAGCUGGAUUGUAAACUUCUGACAUGUACUUGCCCAGACCCAUAGUACAUACAGUGAUGCUGCUUUAAUUUUGGUUUGUUUCAGCAAAAGUAGUGAGGAAAUGAAGCUGCAGAAUUCAAAGCUGUCACGGAAGUUUCGCUGCCUGGUUUCCCAGGACUCAGCCUUGCAGUUAUAUAUAAAGGAUUGGCGUAAGAAACUGGAAAUGGCUGAACGGAGGAUCCAACAGCUCUCAGGGUCAGUUUUUGAGCUCCAGGCAGAAAGAGAUCUGUAUGCAGAGAAACUGAAGGAGGUGCAGAGAAUGUGGCAGCAGUAGGUGCAGCAGUUCUCUGAACAGGUCCGUGCAAUGGCAGAAGAGAAGGAGGAGCAUAUGGCCUGAGGAGACGAUGACGUGGACUCCUGAGUUCAACCAGAAGACCUUUUAUUAGUCCAGAACCCACGCUUAUAAUAUCCUCGUUUGCUGUUCACGCGCCCCAUACUAAAUUAUCAUUGGUUAAUCAAUACUGUUCACACACGUCUUGGCUACAUAUAAUUGGUUAAUUACUAAGCUGCAAAUGCACUGAA